rnacentral:rRNA from 1 species
CUAGUAACUGCGAGUGAAGCGGGAAAAGCUCACAUUUAAAAUCUGGCAGAUUUUUGUCUGUCCGAGUUGUAACCUAGAGAAGUGUAACCUGUGCUGGACCGUGUACAAGUCUCCUGGAAUGGAGCAUCAUAGAGGGUGAGAAUCCCGUCUUUGACAUGGACUACCAGUGCACUGUGGUUGCGCACUCGACGAGUCGAGUUGUUUGGGAAUGCAGCUCUAAAUGGGUGGUAAAUUCCAUCUAAAGCUAAAUAUUGGCGAGAGACCGAUAGCGAACAAGUACCGUGAGGGAAAGAUGAAAAGAACUUUGGAAAGAGAGUUAAACAGUAUGUGAAAUUGUUGAAAGGGAAACGCUUGAAGUCAGCUGCAUUGGCUGGGGAUCAAGCCAGCUUAUUUGCUGGGUGUACUUCCUGGUUGAUGGGCCAACAUCAGUUUUGACCAUCAGAGAAAGGCCAAGGGAAUGUGGCACCUUUAUAGGUGUGUUAUAGCCCUUGGUUGUAUGUGGUGGUUGGGACUGAGGAUAGCAGCGUGCCGCAAGGCUCGGGUUUCGACCACGUUCACGCUUGGGAUGUUGGCAUAAUGGCUUUAAGCGACCCGUCUUGAAACACGGACCAAGGAGUCUAACAUGCAUGCAAGUGUUUGGGUGGAAAACUCAAGCGCGUAAUGAAAGUGAAAGUUGAGAUCCCUCUCACAGGGGAGCAUCGACGCCCGGACCAGAACUUUUGGGACGGAUCU